CAAAGUGUCAGAAUGGUGUCCUGGAUAACCAGUGUGUGCAGUAUGGUGAAUGUGCCAUCAUUGAAGCUCCAUGGACUUCAGUCUGAAAAUGAAUAAAAUAGAACUAACGAAGCAAACUUUCUUGACAGAUGAGGUCCACAAAUCCAAACUGCUUUGGAUACAAAUAGAGAUGGGCACUGAGAUAUUUUGGUAUGUUAUUGCAAAGCUGAAUUUCUCAUGUGCUUCAUUAGUAGAUAUUUCAGCCUUUUGCCUCAAGCUUUUUCUUUCGAAACUGCACAGAAAUAUUUUGUGUCUGGAAGCCAUAUGCCUGGAAAUGUAUCCCAAGAUAUGCGCUUCCUACUGGUGACUGAUGGAUCUUGUCUGACUGUGUCUGAAAUCUCAGAAUAACACUUCUAUGGGUUUUACUAUUUCAAAGUAAGGGACAUUUCAGGAAUUAUUGCUGGUGACUGCACGAAAAUAAUAGGCAAAGUAUUUGAGGCUGCAAUAAGUCAUUGACUAUUCUACAAAGUAAUGUGGGACUGCUCACAUCUAGACGGGAUGAUGUUACAGCACAUUUUGUUGGGUUGCAUUAUGAUAGCAAUUGUCACAUAAUUUUGACUGUGAGUCUUUAUCUGAGACUCCAGUCCUCCAUCUUCCCUUCAAAAACCCUGUGGAAUAAAAUUGUGAGAUCUGUUUGUAAUGCUGAGAUCUGUUAGCUGUAUGUCUCAUAUGUAAAACAGUUACAAUAUGACAACAGUUUUGUGUAAAUUACUUAAUAUUUGCCCUCUUGUCUGUUAUUCUUGGUCACUGGAAAUCUACACAGUACUUGAUCCAGUUUGCUCAAGCCUAUUUAUUCUGUCAAUAUAUAUAUUUCUAGUAACGAUAGUAAUGAUAAAUGAUGGUUAAAUAUAUGGAACUUAUAUGCUAUUGACAUUUAUGACACCUAUAAAAUGGAUCUUUUCCUUUUCUGAAAGUUAUUGGAAAGGCAAAAUUAUUACAAACAGCCUGAGGCCAAUCUAGUUCUAACUUCUAAGCAUCACUGAGGUAUAUAGGUGCCAUUGGCUUUCACUGAGCAUAAAGGUAAUGUUCCCAAAGGCUACAUUUAUGAAGCCUAGUAUCCCUAGGCUCCACUACAAUAAGUGCAGAAUAGAAAUGCAUCCAAAAAAGAAAUCAGAGAAACAAUGGGCUAUUACUCUCAGAUGCUUUCCAGGGAAAUGCACAGCAAGCACUUACACGAGCUGCAAUGAUGUGUGUUACGUGAAGCUACAUUGCUCUACCCUUAAAACACUGGGAAAAGAGAUAUGGAAAGUAUAACAACAUUAAAACAUAUAAAAGUAA